ensembl:lncRNA
CCUGAACCUAUAGGGGAGGGUCCGGGUGGGCAUCUACCUUUCGGUGGCGGCUCUGGCUCGGAACGUAGCCCCCGCUCCACCUCUGGCUCCCCCCGCCUCUGGUGCGGGGACCCUCAUCGCCGACCCCGACUGGGGACCCUCUCUGCAGGCCCUGGACUGGGGACACUCGUCGCAGGCCCCGGACUGGGGACCCUCGUCGCAGGCCCCGGACUGGGGACCCUCGCCGCAGGCCCAGGACUGGGGACCCUCGCCGCAGGCCCCGGACUGGGGACCCUCGCCUCUAGGGUCCUUUACUGUCCAGGAUCUCCUCCCAUGUCCUUGAGUCCCUUUCUCCAUGCUGCUUUGUCCUUUGGUGGUGGGUAGUUCUGUCACGAUCGUCGUAUGGAAUGGACCAAGGUGCAGAGUGGUGAGUGUACAUUUUUCUUUAUUUUAUGUCGCCAACAAAACAAUAACACAACAAAAACGACCGUGAACGACCGGCUGUACAUGCACCAAUGAAGAUAACUACUCACAACUACCAAAAGGAACAAAGGCUGCCUAAGUAUGAUUCCCAAUCAGAGAUAACGAUAGACAGCUGUCCCUGAUUGAGAACCAUACCCGGCCAAAACAUAGAAUAAACAACAUAGAAUGCCCACCCCAAAUCACACCCUGACCUAACCAAAUAGAGAAAUAAAACGUCUCUCUAAGGUCAGAGCGUGACAGAUACCCCAUGAGUGAGUCAGACCCUACCUCAAAGAUCAUACCAAACCUACAGUACAAUACAGUCAUAUAAAUGGUUUGGUUUCAUUCUCACAUCUGUUGAAUACAGUGAUACUGCUGAAGUUGUGUGUGCGCCCCAUUGUAAGCUAUCUAUUAACUAUUUGAAAUAAAAGAAAAUCACCAUGAUGCUUGAAACUCACAGCUCUGUCGUUGAUCUCUCUAAAUCAAUCAGCUUCAGUAUUCUGUCUAAUUUCCACCCAUUUCUCCCUCCUAAGGUCUUGAGUAAUGAAAAUAAUGAGUGUCGUUGAGCCUCCUACUGUAUCAAACAUGAUGACGCUCAUUCACACUGUCAGAUCUAAUCCCCUGAGCAGGAGGAGAGAAGCAACUGGCAACUAUGCUGGCAAUCAUCCUCCCAUCAAGUGAAUGAAAAAUGAUAUCUUCUUUUGGAGGAGAGAAGCAAGCUCUAUUACUCACCUGCUGACUUGAGAGGUUUGGAGGUUGACUUCAUGACAGACUACUGUGCUUUCAACAUAUUCUCACUCCUCCGUGGCAAGACAUUCAGCAACAUUCAGCAACCCAGCACAGCACAACACAGAUGUUCCAGUUGUCUUGAAAGCACCAUAAACCCAGAGAAUGCCAGUCUUUGAUGAUCAAGUUGUAUGACAAAAUUUACCCACGAAGAACUACAGCACAACCUUCCUGUUCAAGUGACCACAACAUGGACACCUACACCACCCGAUGCUACAGGAAGGCCAUAAAGAUCAUCAAGGACAUCAACCACCCGAGCCACUGCCUGUUCACCCCGCUGUCAUCCAGAAGGCGAGGUCAGUACAGGUGCAUCAAAGCUGGGACCGAGAGACUGAAAAACAGCUUCUAUCUCAAGGCCAUCAGACUGUUAAACAGCCACCACUAACAUUGAGUGGCUGCUGCCAACACACUGUCAAUGACACUGACUCAACUCCAGCCACUUUAAUAAUGGGAAUUGAUGGGAAAUGAUGUAAAUAUAUCACUAGCCACUUUAAACAAUGCUACCUUAUAUAAUGUUACUUACCCUACAUUAUUCAUCUCAUAUGCAUAUGUAUAUACUGUACUCUAUAUCAUCGACUGCAUCCUUAUGUAAUACAUGUAUCACUAGCCACUUUAACUAUGCCACUUGGUUUACAUACUCAUCUCAUAUGUAUAUACUGUACUCGAUAUCAUCUACUGUAUCUUGCCUAUGCUGCUCUGUACCAUCACUCAUUCAUAUAUCCUUAUGUACAUAUUCUUUAUCCCCUUACACUGUGUAUAAGACAGUAGUUUUUUUGGAAUUGUUAGUUAGAUUACUUGUUCGUUAUUACUGCAUUGUCCGAACUAGAAGCACAAGCAUUUCGCUACACUCGCAUUAACAUCUGCUAACCAUGUGUAUGUGACAAAUAAAAUUUGAUUUGAU